UUAAUUAAAGACUAGAACAAAAGAUUUAACAUUUUUAUUUAUAUAAUUUAAAAAAUUAAUUUAAAUUUUUCUAAGUGUAAAAAAACACUUAUUUAAAAGAAAGACGACAAGACCCUAUAGAACUUAACUUUAGUUAAACUGGGGAAGUAAAUUAAUUAUUAUUUUAAUUUAUAUUAAAUAUAUUAUACCUAAUUUAAUUAAAUAACUAAGUUACCUUAGGGAUAACAGCGCAMUUAAUUUUUAAAGUUCUUAUAUAAAAAGUAGAUUACGACCUCGAUGUUGAAUUAAUUACCUAUUAUUUAAAGCAAAGUUUAAAAAAGGAAGUCUGUUCGACUUUUAAACAAUUACAUGAUUUGAGUUCAGACCGGUAUAAGCCAGGUCGGCUUCCAUCUUCUAAAAAGUUUCUUACAGUACGAAAGGGCCUAAGAAUAAUUUAUAUUUAAUUGGCAGAUUAAUGCAUUAGAAUUAGAAUCUAAUAAAACUAUU
rnacentral:rRNA from 1 species